rnacentral:rRNA from 1 species
GGAUUCCCUAGUACGGCGAGUGAAGCGGGAAGAGCUCAAAUUUGAAAUCUGGCAGUCUUCGAUUGUCCGAGUUGUAAUCUAUAGAGGCGUUUUCCGUGCCGGACCGUGUCCAAGUCUCCUGGAAAGGAGUAUCAAAGAGGGUGAUAAUCCCGUACUUAACACGACCACCGGUGCUCUGUGAUACGUCUUCUACGAGUCGAGUUGUUUGGGAAUGCAGCUCAAAAUGGGUGGUGAAUUCCAUCUAAAGCUAAAUAUUGGCGAGAGACCGAUAGCGAACAAGUACCGUGAGGGAAAGAUGAAAAGCACUUUGGAAAGAGAGUUAAACAGUACGUGAAAUUGUUGAAAGGGAAACGAUUGAAGUCAGUCGUGUUCUUUGGAUUCAGCCAGUUCUGCUGGUCUACUUCCUUGGAACGGGUCAACAUCAGUUUUGUCCGGUGGAUAAAGGUAGUAGGAAUGUGACUUCUCCGGAAGUGUUAUAGCCUAUUAUCACAUACACUGGGUGAGACUGAGGACUGCAGCUCGCCUUUAUGGCCGGUCUUCGGACACGUUCGAGCUUAGGAUGUUGACAUAAUGGCUUUAAACGACCCGUCUA